rnacentral:rRNA from 1 species
GUAGGGAAUAUUGCGCAAUGGACGAAAGUCUGACGCAGCGACGCCGCGUGAGUGAUGAAGGCCUUAGGGUCGUAAAGCUCUGUUGAAUGGGAAGAAAAAAAUGACGGUACCAUUCGAGGAAGGACCGGCUAACUUCGUGCCAGCAGCCGCGGUAAUACGAGGGGUCCUAGCGUUGUUCGGAAUCAUUGGGCGUAAAGGGUGUGUAGGUGGCCAUGUAAGUCAGGUGUGAAAGCCCCGGGCUCAACCCGGGAAGUGCACUUGAUACUGCGUGGCUUGAGUACCGAAGAGGGUAGUGGAAUUCCAGGUGUAGUGGUGAAAUACGUAGAUAUCUGGAGGAACACCGGUGGCGAAGGCGGCUACCUGGUCGAGUACUGACACUGAGGUGCGAAAGCGUGGGGAGCAAACAGGAUUAGAAACCCCUGUAGUCC